CCUUCAUAGCUCUAAUGAUUUUUCUGUCAGCAGCUGCUGUGGUCAUCUUUAGAAUGCAUACACUUCAUCUUUUUAUUAAGGUAAUCCAUAUUAUAUAGGUCUCAUUUUUCUCCAAUGGCUAUAAAUAAUCCUACAUAACCUGUAUUUUCUUUCUUAUCAUGCACGCAUGUUCACUUGAAAUACAAAUGUCAUUAUUAUGCAAUCAAAAAUAUAUAUUUUUGCUAUUACUAAUAUCUACUAAGAUAUAAUAAUGUAAUAACUGAAUAAUAAAUCAUUCUUUUUACUUGGAUUCUCUGACUGUGUGAUAUUUUAUGCUGGGCAAGGUGCUAGAAAAUUCACUCACUGUCCAAUACCUUGCCUGGUAAAUAUUGGCUUUGCAAAACCUUCAAUUCUGCUUCACCCAGAAAACAGUGGUCAAAGAACUAUGUGCAUAUCACUCGGAAGUUCAACCUCGGUCGCAUCAGUUAAUCAUAAACUUCUCGGAUACAAUCGCAGAGGCAGACUUUACAGUAAUAUACAUUGCACCAUCUGCUUCAGUCCAGCUCCAGUAACACUCAUCAAAGCACGUAUUGAUGUGCUGAAUGCAGAAUGGUUUGUGCUGACUUCCAGUGAUAGGCUGGAUUUUCCUCACCACCUCCUAAAAGUCUCGGUGGACAACGUAAGGAACACAUGACUCACAUGACUUGAGAAGUGGUGUACAUGGCAAAUAGUUAUAGACUGCAGGAAUGCAUUAUUUAACAGUAACUGAAUUAAGCCGAGCAUAGUAAACAAAGCAAGCUAGACAACUAGAAUAACUCAGAAUACUAUUAUUGUGUUUAUUAUAGCUGGUCUUUUUAGAAUAUAACUGCUUCAUAAAAAAGAUGAGUAAGCCACUUUUACGGGGAGAAAAGACUAAGUAAUUAAAAGAUGAGCCAGAUGUCUGAGAAAAGCCUAGCAGGAUAUAUUUAAACCCCUAAUGAGCAGUGGCAAUGAAAAAAAAAACUCCCUGAGAUGAUCUGAGGAAGAAACCCUGAGAGGAACCCAUCCUCUUCUGGAUGACAGCAGAUAGUGGGACUAUAAAUCACUAGGCUACUCUUCCACAGUUGUGGACUAUAAAACCAAGCAGUACAGAUGGAUCCAUAACCCGCCCUGAGUCCCAUCAAAUGAUGGCGGAUGAAGUGUCAUCUUCCCUCUCGAUGCCUUUGAGAAGUUUCACCUCUGCAGGGAACUGUCAUCAACCUCCCCUCCUUCUCUCUCUCUCUCUCUCUCUCUCUCUCUCUCUUUCACUACCUCCCACCAUCAAGUUACUGAUACAAUCACAGGCUGGUUGAGCUGGCAUAUACGCAGCAGGAGGUGUUAGCUCAGGAGGCCAGGCCCUCAUUAAGAGUGUGCAUCCUGGGAGAGACCGCAGUUUACAGACCAGUGUGAGCAGAGGCGAUGAAUGAAGAGCCUCAUUCAUGAAUUAUCACCUUAUCUACCUCAAACCAGUCUUCAAUGCUGCACACACUCUCACACAUGAACUCACAGGUUCAAGCAUGUCCACAGACGUGCACACAUCUACCAGGUGAACUAAUGGUGUAUUAAUUAUGAAAACAAAUACAUGCAUCUCACAG